rnacentral:rRNA from 1 species
UACGUAGGGUGCAAGCGUUGUCCGGAAUUAUUGGGCGUAAAGAGCUCGUAGGCGGUCUGUCGCGUCUGCUGUGAAAACUCGGGGCUUAACCCCGGGCCUGCAGUGGGUACGGGCAGACUAGAGUGCGGUAGGGGAGACUGGAAUUCCUGGUGUAGCGGUGAAAUGCGCAGAUAUCAGGAGGAACACCGGUGGCGAAGGCGGGUCUCUGGGCCGUAACUGACGCUGAGACGCGAAAGCGCGGGGAGCGAACGGG